UACAAUGACUUUAUCCAAAUUCACUCAGUAAACAAAGUGUUGAAUAUGGCGUACGAAAGUUCGUAGCUGUCAUUAAUUUUAUUUCAAACUUCAACAAAUUAUAGCGAGAUGAACGUAUGAUCGAUUAGAUGUUGAAUCGACGGAGUACGAUAAUUAAAGAGGAAGAUUUCAUUCGCCUUCGCAUCCAUAACAGCUCGGGUAUGUUUUGUGCGGUUGCGCAGAUAAAAUUUUAAAUUUUUACAAUAAUAAUGUUUUGUAACAUAACAUAUUUCCACCCUUCUUCCAGAAGAUUGGGGUGUUACACUCUUGCAUGUACGAGGAGUUGCUGACCACUACACCACCGAGGAAACAAUCUGUGUGGGAUUGUUAUGGGGUCCAGACAACUGGCCCCUCGGGGGGGGGGGGAAUCAGAAGGAUAGGAGGUCACUGUUCGGGAGGUAGUCAUCAUCGUCGGUUCUUGGAAUUCCCUCACAAAGCUUGUGGAUAUCAGGAUGAAACGUCAGCACGACCGGAUUUAACUGAUUAUGCGUUCAUGUGUAUCAAGCAAAAAACUGUUAUGGAUAGCCAUUUUGUCCGUCAGGUUUGGGUCACGUGUCGAUAAUUGUCUGUUAGGUUCUGAAUGUGGAAAUAGGAUUAAAGGUUGGGUGCAGAGUGCUCUCGGUUUAAUGGUACAUGUUUAUUCUACCUUUGUAUGAUUGACGACCACCGAGUGUGUUGUUGAUGCGAAAGUGUUUGCUGCAUCGUGAAAAUUUCUGUCCACCAAUUUAUUAUGAUGACUUCAAUUUAUGUUUGAUCUCCUACUACGGAAUGCUUGGUUCCACUUGCAGAUGACGAAGUUGGUUCAGUCUGUAAAUAAUAAAUAACAAAGCAGAAUAUGUUUCUUUUUUUUUUGUUGAAAGAUCUU